GGAAGACAAGCCCAUUUUCUUGGGAAAAAUUCAAGGAGGCUUCAGAUACUUGAAUGAAAAGAAGCUGAGUGCUGAUUGCCAAGACAAUGACAUUUAAUAGUUCCACUUUGCACUACUAAUUUUCUCUAUGAUCAUAAAGAAAAGAGGUUUAAUUGGCUCAUGAUUCUGCAGACCAUAAGGAAACAUAAUGGCUUCUGAAUCUGGGAGGACUCAGGGAGCCUUCCAAUCAUAUCAGAAUGUCCAGGGGCAAUGACAUGAUUCAUGUGGCAGGAGUAGGCACAAGACACACAGAGGAGAGAGGGCCACACCCUAUCAUACAAACAGAUCUCAUGAGAACUCACUAUCACAAGGUCAGCAUCAUGAAGAUGGUGCUUAAACAUUAAGGAAGGAACAACCACCCACCCCCAACUCCCACUGUUUCCAAACAGAAGCCUGCUGCAGAGGCAGAGCCUCUUGGAAAACCUCUACCAGGGAAGUGUGGAAGGAAAAUAUGGGCUUGAAGCCCCCAUGCAGAUGGCCACCAACCUCCAGACCCCAGAUUCAUAGACCCACCAACAGCUCACACCCUCUGUGGAAAAGCUACAGGCACUCAACAACAGCCCAGCCCGUGAGAGCAGCUGCAGGGGCUAAACCCUGCAUAGCCACAGGUGCUCUGUCUUAGUAG
rnacentral:lncRNA from 1 species